UCUAGAUGGUGCAUGAUCCACAACCACAUGCCCAAUGCCAUACCUCAGUUGCUAUGAAGACAGUCUCGUGGUUCAAAGACAAUGUUAGGCGCCAUCCCAGAGUUGAAUGGAACUGAUAUAAACAAUAGGCCGCCGAAUGACUAGUUGGUCAUCUGAAGGAAGAAUACCAAUAAGAAAAGGUCUUUCUUUCAUGAAACAGGUAAUGGAGAACUGAAAGCUCAUGGUGUGUUCAGAGAACAGCUAGCAGAGGAGAGGAGGAAAGAAGAGAAGGAAGGAAGAAGAUCAAGCUGAAAUGGUACUACGGGGACUCUUAAUGCUCCAUUAAGCCAAAUGGUUUGGACUUCAUCUGCUGGCCAUGGUGGCUACAACUGGAGCAGCCAUUUGGGUGGUGAGGUGAGUUCAAGAUGGAAGCCAAGCACAACCUAGAAGGACCCUGACUCCCUGACACCAUGGUUUGCCAUAUGGGACCUGGACUGAUUCCCUUUGGAACUUUAUCUGAGAGAAAUAAACUUCUGUCUUGCUUAAGCCAUUUUUAUGGUGUCUUUCUGUCAUUUGUAGCUAAUCCUAAUCCUAAUUUUUACAUUAUCCUUCCAUAAGCUGUGAAGAGCCACAAAAAGUUUUAU
rnacentral:lncRNA from 10 species